rnacentral:lncRNA from 1 species
UGUUGCCUCGGUUACACUAAACUGUAAAGAUGAAAUUAGUGUCUUAACAAUCAAAAGGGUAAAAACUGCAGUGUUUAACACUCAAUUCAGUAGUUUUGUGGUAAGUAACACCAUCUAGUACUGUCCUCGUCAUAUCAAGGGUUCAACUGUCCCCGGGUUUAGAUAUGUUCCUGGUCGCUAGGAGACGGUAACAGAGGUCUCUUAUCAAUGGGACUAAAAACAACAUUCUAACUGGUCAGGGGGAACAGCUGACAGAUAUACUGCACAUAAUAAUAAUAAUAAUAAUAACAAACAAAAAACACCACACCAUUUUGUUUAGGGGGAAGGAGGGCAACUAACAUUACUAUUGGGGCAUGCUGGGAGGUUCUGGGGGGUGGUUCUAACAUUACUAUUGGGGCAUGUAGGGAGGUUCUGGGGGGUAGUUCUAAUAUUACUAUUGGGGCAUGUAGGGAGGUUCUGGGGGGUGGUUUCUAAUAUUACUA